rnacentral:rRNA from 1 species
UGGGGAAUUGUUCGCAAUGGGCGCAAGCCUGACGACGCAACGCCGCGUGGAGGAUGACGGUCUUCGGAUUGUAAACUCCUGUUGCCCGGGACGAACCGCUCAGACUGAAUAGGUCUGAGUCUGACGGUACCGGGUGAGGAAGCCCCGGCUAACUCUGUGCCAGCAGCCGCGGUAAUACAGAGGGGGCAAGCGUUGUUCGGAAUUACUGGGCGUAAAGGGCGCGUAGGCGGCCUGUUAAGUCGAACGUGAAAUCCCUGGGCUCAACCCAGGAACUGCGUCCGAUACUGGCAGGCUUGAAUCCGGGAGAGGGAUGCGGAAUUCCAGGUGUAGCGGUGAAAUGCGUAGAUAUCUGGAGGAACACCGGUGGCGAAGGCGGCAUCCUGGACCGGCAUUGACGCUGAGGCGCGAAAGCCAGGGGAGCAAACGG